UCCGUCACAGGUCUUGGUCUCCCCUUCCAAAAGUCAGUGCCUCUCCAGGCUGCCCAUCCCCAGCAAAGAUCCGGAAGCCGGAAGUCCGCUGCCCCUGGCAACAGCACCCAGCACCUAGCCCUCUGCUUCGCCGUACCGCACCCGGAAGUCGGAGCUGCGCACGCACCGCGGGACUCUGAAUUCCCGGCAUGCCCCAGGAGAGCGGCGUGGACGCGUGCGGGCCUAGAGGCCCACGUGAUCCGCAGGGCGGCCGAGGCAGGAAGCUGUGAGUGCGCGGUUGCGGGGUCGCAUUGUGGCUACGGCUUUGCGUCCCCGGCGGGCAGCCCCAGGCUGGUCCCCGCCUCCGCUCUCCCCACCGGCGGGGAAAGCAGCUGGUGUGGGAGGAAAGGCUCCAUCCCCCGCCCCCUCUCUCCCGCUGUUGGCUGGCAGGAUCUUUUGGCAGUCCUGUGGCCUCGCUCCCCGCCCGGAUCCUCCUGACCCUGAGAUUCGCGGGUCUCACGUCCCGUGCACGCCUUGCUUCGGCCUCAGUUAAGCCUUUGUGGGCUCCAGGUCCCUGGUGAGAUUAGAAACGUUUGCAAACAUGUCCCGGAUCGAAAAGAUGAGCAUUCUGGGCGUGCGGAGUUUUGGAAUAGAGGACAAAGAUAAGCAAAUUAUCACUUUCUUCAGCCCCCUUACAAUUUUGGUUGGACCCAAUGGGGCGGGAAAGACGACCAUCAUUGAAUGUUUAAAAUAUAUUUGUACUGGAGAUUUCCCUCCUGGAACCAAAGGAAAUACAUUUGUACACGAUCCCAAGGUUGCUCAAGAAACAGAUGUGAGAGCCCAGAUCCGUCUGCAAUUUCGUGAUGUCAAUGGAGAACUUAUAGCUGUACAAAGAUCUAUGGUGUGUACUCAGAAAAGCAAAAAGACAGAAUUUAAAACUCUGGAAGGAGUCAUUACUAGAACAAAG
rnacentral:lncRNA from 1 species